rnacentral:rRNA from 1 species
UACGAAGGGUGCAAGCGUUACUCGGAAUUACUGGGCGUAAAGCGUGCGUAGGUGGUUCGUUAAGUCUGUCGUGAAAGCCCCGGGCUCAACCUGGGAAUGGCGAUGGAUACUGGCGGGCUAGAGUGCGGUAGAGGAGAGUGGAAUUCCCGGUGUAGCAGUGAAAUGCGUAGAGAUCGGGAGGAACAUCAGUUGCGAAGGCGG